rnacentral:rRNA from 1 species
UGUUGACCUCAAAUCAGUAGG